CUAAUUAAUUAGUAGUAAUUUUAAUUAAUUUAAGAUUGUGUUAUGAAAGUGGUUGAUUAAUUUUAUGAAUUUUAUAAUAAGUAUUCAUAAUAAAAAUAGUAAUGUAUGCUUUUAAAGAUAAUGUUUAUUUGAAUUUAGUGUAACUGUGACUAGCAUUAUAUUUAUUGCAUAUUUAUUUAUUUUUGUGCAUAUUUAUUUAUUUAGCUUUAAAAUAUAGAUAGCGGAUCUCUUUAUGAGGUACACCACACACACAUUGGUACUCUUGAUCUCUUGGUCUUAUCGCUCAGAGCUAUAUUUUUCAGACAACCUAAGGAUGGAUUCUGAUGACAAGCAAAAGACUGGUUGGCUGUUGGGUAAAGCGCAAGCCUAUAUUAUAAUUUUAUGCCACGCUUUAUCUUCAGUUUAUGAGGAAAAGCCUUGUGCCUUCUAAAAUUAAUAAAGGACAAAACAUCCCAAUAUGGUCAUUUGAUAUCAAAUAAAUUGUGAUUAUUGUGAAAUUAUCUACCAAAAACAGUUGCAUUGUUCUGGUCAGAAUUUUCCUUCUAAAAGUUAUAAAGGACAAAACAUCCCAAUAUGGUUACUUGAGGUCAAAUAAAUUUGAAUUCUCCUAGCCUCUUAAAGCUUGUAAAAAGCGAUUUAAAUCUGUAUAAAGCGUCCACACUAUUUUGUUUGGUUUUUCCUUGAGUGGGUAAAGGAAAACUAAAUACAAAUUCUUCAAAGGUAUUUUAUUUACAAUUCAAAUAUUCUGUUUAUUGCCUAUAGGUAUCAAAGGACAAUAAAGGUGAAGAUGUGUUAUUGAUAGCAAUAAUUUGUUUUUUUGCUAACUUGCUAAUAAUAAAUCAUUUAACAUUCUAACGAUAGGUCUCAGGUAUCUACCAAUUAAGAUUUUUAAAUGGCAGAGCCUAUUUUUGAGUAUUUACCUACUCAGAACGUUCCUUACUUGCAUGUUGAAGAUUGCUUUGAAUUAUUUUACUUUUACUGAAUCUUUUUUACACAGAAUAGAUAGAUUGCCUAUUUACCUAGGAUACUAUUCCAUCUAACUUUCUUGAUUAACAGAUAGGCAAUUUAAGUUUUUUUUUAACGACGUCAAAAUCAUCAAAUGACAAUUCCCGCUGUGUUAGUAAGAACUUAAGUGCAUAGGUACAUACUUAUUAAUAACUACAUAAUACCUAAAAUAAUUAAUUUUACGCGCGUCCUUUCCUGCUAGGUGACACACGCAUUUAGGUGAAAUAAAACUCCGAACAGGAAAAUAGUGGACCGACUAGUUAUUUUUUCAAUCAUUAGUGAAAUCAUAUAUAAAGAUGCAUCGCGGCUUGCAUUUCUGUACAACUGCAGACACAAAGCCACGAUGAAGUCCUGGACCAUACUGUUUUGUAUUGUGCUAUUCAACCUGGCAAUCGCUAUACCCGACUGCCCCGAGGGUGAAUACUAUCCGGGCCCCGACUGCACUCUGGAGCCAUCUUGCCAGGGAAACGCGAGCCCAACAGCGCACGCGAAGCAUGCUUGUGAAACAUGUUGGUGCAAACCUGGCACACUGAGAAAUCUGGAAACCAACACUUGCGUUAAAUCUUGUUAAUAAUAAUAAAGUGCAGUUUUAACAGGC